GUUUACUUGAAAAGACUUGAUAUUUUACCCCAAAUAUAAAAUUUAACAUGCAUAUUAUAUAGAGAUUGAAAAUGUGACGUCAUUCAGGGGUAAAACCGCAAAGGAUUCUGGGAACUCGUGGCAAGAAGUACUAGCGCACACAGCCUUUCAAUUAAAAUCAGUCACACAGCGAUAAAAAGAAACACAAAAAUGUCAAGAAGCUGUUGUAUUAUUAACUGCAAUAGCCGGUCACAUGACAGCCACGGGAAGCCGACGGGUAAAGAGAUCGGUUGUUAUCGGAUUACGUCGUUGAAGAGAAAUUGUUCGAGCCAUGUUUCCGAAGUAACAAAGACGCGACGGAUGGCCUGGAUUGCAGCCAUUCAAAGACCAAAUAUAACGUCCCAGAACUCUCCAGCUCACAGGUUAGUCUGCUCCAAGCAUUUACACGAAGGUCAGUGUUUUUUAGUAGUUAAUACGUCAUUUUCAUAACAUAAUUGGUGAUAUAGGUUACAAGCAAGUCUGGCGCUGAACAGAAAUUGUCGCACUAUGCUCCUUUAUUUAUUGUGCAUAAAUAGUGAAUUGUCCUGACACAAUAUUGCGUUUCGCUUCUGUUAUUAUGGUACAUUGACAAAAACAUAUACUUUUAUUCACAGGAUAAAACAGGUUUUUUUGUAUCACUAAUUGCCCAGUACGAUUACAGCAUACAGUAUUAUUGUCACUGCUACAUUUCUGUGAUGCUACCAGAAAUUAUUUCCACUACUAAUUAAUUACCGUUGAGCUCAAAGGUCCUAUUAAUAAACGGUUAAGGAAUGUGUAUUUAUGACGACGAUUUGUGAAACUGGUAAACUUAUGAUACGUACGAUGGUCUUUCGUUCUACACGGUGCAUUUCAAGGUCCUGCACCCAUCCGUCGGUAAACUGUACCUGGGCUUGUUGCAGUGACCGGAAGUUACUAAACUUCAUGAGUGUAUGCGCUCACUCCAAGAACCGUAUAAUUAUAAAUAUGCAUAUAAAUAUGCUAAGAUGAGAUAGCUGACUUCAUCUAACUAGCAAAUGUUGUCCAGGCUACGUUGGUGAUGCAGUUUUUUUUUAAUGUGUAUGAUAUUUUUGUCAUGCGAUUUUAAAGCUGGUCCUACAACCGCAUCCAAGAAUAACAUGCAGCUUAUCUCAGAACUGUCGGUGAAAAUUAUUCUUGGAGCUAGGUUUAAUUGAGCUGCAUUUUAAAGAGGUGCAAUUUCACAAUUUGUGUAUAUUUUCUAAGUUCACUAUUUUGUCAUGUGUUGAGAAAAACACAGAUUUAAAAAUUACAUGGUCUAAUAUUUACAUUUAGCAUAACUGCAACAUUAUUUUUUCGUUUUUUUGAAUGACUCGAAAGGACUUGAAAUUCAAAGUUUCAGACUUGUGACUUGACUCGGACUUUUACACCAGUGACUUGAGACUCGACUCUGACUUGCCUGACAUUACUUGAGACUUGACUUGAGACUUGAGGAUAAAGACUUGAGACUUACUUGAGACUUGCAAAACAAUGACUUGGUCCCACCUCUGCUCUAUUUAAGUGUAUUUAGCCCCUUUCAGACAUGGGAUGAGUAACAUUACUGACUGACUUGUCAGUGAGACAAGCUGCAUGGUACUGCUGAGUGAGCUGCCCCCACCCUUCCCACACAGGCUCCAGUGAGGAAGAUGUCUUCUGGACUGGCAAAGAUGAAAAUCAUCAUUUAAGGGCAUUCUCUACUGACGGAGCAACUCACAAGGAUGCUUAAAAGACGGGCCCAGUCAUGUCAUGUGACCUGAAGUGUACAAAAAUGCUUAUGGUGAGACUGAUAGCUCAACUUUUCCAUUAAAGUGAGCAGACAUGACGGUGGCCUGUUCAGGUGCCCACAGGUUAAUUGGAAGGAGUGCAUUUCUGAAAGGGCUUUUUGUCCUCAUACAAGCAGAUGUGGGCGGAGUCUGAAGUCUGGACCUGUGUGGGUGGGAUUUAUCAGUAGGGACAUUACACUGCAAUGUAAAGCUAUUUACUUGUUUCAACAUAUGGUGCUCUACCAGCAUCUGCGUCUGUUUGGAAUUUUUCUUUUUUUCUUUUUUUCCUGUGCAAUAUCCCAGUAUAUGAACCAUAUCUAAUCAUAUGAAACAUUGGUCCCGGGCCCAAGCCUGUAAUGGUUUUGCCUGCUGGUUUAUGUGUGAUGCAGCUGCAUUUUGCACUACCUGCCUUCAGAAGUCUCAGACACUGGAUAUUGUCAAAUGUACAGGCUUUUAAUGUUUUGCUGGUUUCUGUUUUCAUAGGAGUUUUAUUAAAUUUAUUUUCCACUGUGCUGCAUUUCUGUCUGUGGUCUUUUUUUAUUCUGCUGCUUGAUGUGGGCUGAGUGACUUCUGCGCCUACAUAGGCCAAUGGAUAUUUUUUUUCCCUCUUCUAAGAGGCAAGAGAACUUUUUGAUUCUAGACAGAAAUAUACACAGGCUUAUUUUCGACAGCUAUUUUUGCUAAAAAAUAUAAAAGUCAAACCAGUUUGUAUACAUCCAGAAAUGAGUGAGUCUAGUUAUAAGAGAAGUUUCCCUCUAUUUUAAUUUAAAUGAAAAAUAUCAAAAGGGCAGAAGGUUUCAAACCCUCUGAAAUUUUACAAAAAUGUGAUGCCCU
ensembl:lncRNA